GCCUGUGGCCACUGAGGGAAGAAUAUAAGUUAACCUUUGUAGUGACCAUGUGGAAGUCCUGACCUUGCUUGCAGACUUGACCUCGGGAUAUGACAAGGUAGCUUCAAUACAGAUCUACCAUUUAAUCCUGGAAACUAAAACAAACAAAAAAAAUCUCACAGCAAGAAAGAUGCAGAAUAUUUCCUCAGAAGUCAGAAGACCCCAAUGUAUUCUGGUGCGCAAAGAAAACAGGGUGAGGUUCUGUGUUCACUGUUUCUUCCCCCUUACUUCACCCGGCUCAUGAAAAGAAGCGCUAAUUCAGCAAAUAGAGUGAAGAAACAAUCAAGAUGAGAUGGCUGCUGCUGAUGUGACUCUCUAGGUCUUUAUCUCUCUUCCUGCUGCUAACGCUGCAUGACACUAAGCUUACAGGAUCUAGAAGCAAACUACAAAAUAAGAAGAAAUUUCCUCUGAAGACUAUGAAGAAACACUAGGCUGAUCUUACCAAUAUCUGAAAUACACUCUGUAAAUCCUCACUGGUACUAUGGAUCUCUUGCAGAACCAAACCAGGACAAAGUUCAACAGAUAACUGGUCAAAGUUUAAAAGUGUAUGUCCACCAAAAACAAGGAACCAUGAAUGGCACUAAUGCCAUGCCUCAGGUAAAUUUGUUAUAAAGUUUAGUCUUUGAUAGUCUCUGCAAAUGAUCUACCAUUUCUCUCCAUCAGUAAGCUGAAUGUUUUACUAACAAAUGGGAAAAUAAAACAUUUCGUGUUUUUACAGCUAACAACUUAGUAAUACCUACUCAGAGUACAUACUUCUUUAUGUACCCAUAUGAACAUACAAUGCUAUGGAAUGUAAAGAAGUAUGUAUUUUUGGUAGGCAAUAAACCGCCAAGAGGGAACUAGAAUGCAGCUAUGUGAAUGACCUUCAUAUGGUAAAUUAACCUAAUAUCAAAGAGAUGACCUUUGGCAAUACUAACACCAGAAAAAUGUACCUACUACUUACAGAUGGAAACUAAAUGUUGCUAAGAUUUAUAUUCUGUGAAGAAAAAAAGUUUUACUGAAGUAGAUUUAAAAUUAUCAUGAAAUUCCUUUUAAAUAUUUUAAGUUAUACAUACAUUUUACAUUUUUUAAAUUAAGUUUCACGUGAUUAAAAUUUGAAUACAAAAAAGAGUAUUACUAGUACAAAACAAUGAGGGAUACACAUGACCUAUUUUCUGUCUCCACAAUUUGACAUUAAUUUAAAUUAAUAUAUUAGUAGUGUUGACUGAUUUAACAAAAGCCAACUUCAUUUGCAUUUCAACAGCUCUUCUUCAUAUUUUGAUAAAUUUAUAAUUUAAUAAUAUUAGAGGAAUUUCUGAAGCAAGUUUUGCUGUUUUAGGUUUUCUUUUUGAAAGCUAUAGACAUAGUUAUGAUUUUAAAAGGCUAUCUUUCAAGUAAAAUUCUGCUCUCAGAAGAAAAAAAACUGGUCCUUGUCCUUCUCCCUAAUCCAGUCUCCACUUUCAAUGCUGUGUAAGUACUUAGAAUGAAUCAAGACAUAAGAUUUAUUCAUAAAAAAUGACAAAAUUCUGGGAAAUAGCUGUAAGUCAACAGGGCACAUUGGUCACAGACUGCCAAAUAUUUAAAAUAAAUUAAUUUAUUAUCUAUAUUAUCCUUGAAUUUGCUUUCUCCAAAGAGGGCACAUAAAAUGAAAACACUAUAGUCAAGAAACCAAUUUAUACAGAAAGAAUAACCAUCUUUUAU